rnacentral:ncRNA from 2 species
UCCUUAUCUGGAGAGGUGGAGGGACUGGCCCUAUGAAGCCCGGCAACCGGCAAUUUUUAUUGCAAUGGUGCCAAUUCCUGCAAGAUUACGUCGUAAUCUUGGGAGAUGAGAC